AAUAAUCUUCACUUUCUCACUUCUGCCUUGGAGCUGCAAUCUGUCUGUAUGAGCUGCUGAGAUAAUUUCUUUCAAACUGCAGAAUUGGGAAGAGGACUUUGUAAUCACCUCAGAUCUGUUUUUUUACAUUAGCCUUGGGCUUAAACUUGCAUGUGAGACCAACCUCCCAAUUUAUUCUGCUGCCCCAGUUUUGACACUGUCUUGAGUAUGGAGUGAGCCAGGUGGCUAGGGGGUGGCUCAUAAAUCUGAAUGGCAUGAACCAAAGCAGUACCUUCUGUUCAGGAAAAAUCAUACUUGGUGAACCAUAAGAAGAAAUAUUCCAGAGAACAGAAUACCACAGGAUGCUUUGAGCAAGCCAAGGCUCUCUGUGAUACCGAAGGACAGAAAAGCCAAGAAUCAGCUAUUCAGCAAUGAAUUAAUAUGUUGUUAAAGGUCUGACCACUCUUAACGUGUUUGUAUCCAAUAGCUUUUAUCUCACUCCUGUCUUGCUGAAUCAGCUUUUCUGCCUACAUUAAACAUCCACUGAACUAAUCUAAACCUUAUGUGUUCCUCUUCCUUAAAAUAAAGGGGUUUUCUCUAUUA